GACGAACGCUGGCGGCGUGCUUAACACAUGCAAGUCGAACGGAAAGGCCCUGCUUUUGUGGGGUGCUCGAGUGGCGAACGGGUGAGUAACACGUGAGUAACCUGCCCUUGACUUUGGGAUAACUUCAGGAAACUGGGGCUAAUACCGGAUAGGAGCUCCUGCUGCAUGGUGGGGGUUGGAAAGUUUCGGCGGUUGGGGAUGGACUCGCGGCUUAUCAGCUUGUUGGUGGGGUAGUGGCUUACCAAGGCUUUGACGGGUAGCCGGCCUGAGAGGGUGACCGGGCACAUUGGGACUGAGGUACGGCCCAGACUCCUACGGGGGGCAGCAGUGGGGAAUAUUGCACAAUGGGCGGAAGCCUGAUGCAGCAACGCCGCGUGCGGGAUGACGGCCUUCGGGUGGUAAACCGCUUUCGCCUGUGACGAAGCGUGAGGGACGGUAAUGGGUAAAGAAGCACCGGCUAACUACGU
rnacentral:rRNA from 1 species